rnacentral:rRNA from 1 species
AUUGAACGCUGGCGGCAGGCCUAACACAUGCAAGUCGAACGGUAACAGGAAACAGCUUGCUGUUUCGCUGACGAGUGGCGGACGGGUGAGUAAUGUCUGGGAAACUGCCUGAUGGAGGGGGAUAACUACUGGAAACGGUAGCUAAUACCGCAUAACGUCGCAAGACCAAAGAGGGGGACCCUCGGGCCUCUUGCCAUCGGAUGUGCCCAGAUGGGAUUAGCUUGUUGGUGGGGUAACGGCUCACCAAGGCGACGAUCCCUAGCUGGUCUGAGAGGAUGGCCAGCCACACUGGAACUGAGACACGGUCCAGACUCCUACGGGAGGCAGCAGUGGGGAAUAUUGCACAAUGGGCGCAAGCCUGAUGCAGCCAUGCCGCGUGUAUGAAGAAGGCCUUCGGGUUGUAAAGUACUUUCAGCGGGGAGGAAGGGAGUAAAGUUAAUACCUUUGCUCAUUGACGUUACCCGCAGAAGAAGCACCGGCUAACUCCGUG